rnacentral:rRNA from 1 species
AUUGAACGCUGGCGGCAGGCCUAACACAUGCAAGUCGAGCGGAGCGGCGGACGGGUGAGUAAUGCCUAGGAAUCUGCCUGUUAGUGGGGGAUAACGUCCGGUAACGGGCGCUAAUACCGCAUACUCUCAGAUGAGCCUAGGUCGGAUUAGCUAGUUGGUGGGGUAAAGGCCUACCAAGGCGACGAUCCGUAGCUGGUCUGAGAGGAUGAUCAGUCACACUGGGACUGAGACACGGUCUAGACUCCUACGGGAGGCAGCAGUGGGGAAUAUUGGACAAUGGGCGAAAGCCUGAUCCAGCCAUGCCGCGUGUAUGAAGAAGGUCUUCGGAUUGUAAAGCACUUUAAGUUGGGAGGCGUUACCAACAGAAUAAGCACCGGCUAACUUCGUGCCAGCCGCCGCGGUAAUUC